GGUGAACGCUGGCGGCGUGCCUAACACAUGCAAGUCGAGCGUGAUUUAUGAGGACGAAACUUCGGUCUAGGAAUCAUAAUGAAAGCGGCGGACGGGUGAGUAACGCGUAGGCAACCUGCCCUUGACACAGGGAUAGCCUCGGGAAACCGGGAUUAAAACCUGAUGACGCCAAACAGUCACAUGGCUGUUUGGUCAAAGAUUUAUCGGUCAAGGAUGGGCCUGCGUCUGAUUAGUUAGUUGGUGGGGUAACGGCCUACCAAGACGACGAUCAGUAGCCGACCUGAGAGGGUGAUCGGCCACAUUGGAACUGAGACACGGUCCAAACUCCUACGGGAGGCAGCAGUGGGGAAUAUUGCACUAUGGGCGAAAGCCUGAUGCAGCAACGCCGCGUGAGCGAUGAAGGCCUUUGGGUCGUAAAGCUCUGUCCUUGGGGAAGAAACAAAUGACGGUACCCAAGGAGGAAGCCCCGGCUAACUACGUGCCAGCAGCCGCAGUAA
rnacentral:rRNA from 1 species